CUGGCUCAGGAUGAACGCUAGCGGCAGGCUUAACACAUGCAAGUCGAGGGGCAGCGAGGGUAAUAGCAAUAUUACCUGUCGGCGACCGGCGCACGGGUGCGUAACGCGUAUGCAACCUACCAUCAACAGGGGGAUAACACUGAGAAAUUGGUACUAAUACCCCAUAAUAUCUCAUGCGGCAUCGCAUGGGGUUGAAAACUCCGGUGGUUGAUGAUGGGCAUGCGUUGUAUUAGCUGGUUGGUGAGGUAACGGCUCACCAAGGCGACGAUACAUAGGGGGACUGAGAGGUUAACCCCCCACAUUGGUACUGAGACACGGACCAAACUCCUACGGGAGGCAGCAGUGAGGAAUAUUGGUCAAUGGACGCAAGUCUGAACCAGCCAUGCCGCGUGCAGGAUGACGGCUCUAUGAGUUGUAAACUGCUUUUGUACGAGGGUAAACCCCGAUACGUGUAUUGGGUUGAAAGUAUCGUACGAAUAAGGAUCGGCUAACUCCGUGCCAGCAGCCGCGGUAAUACGGAGGAUCCGAGCGUUAUCCGGAUUUAUUGGGUUUAAAGGGUGCGUAGGCGGUUUGAUAAGUUAGAGGUGAAAUGUCGGGGCUCAACCCCGAAACUGCCUCUAAUACUGUUGGACUAGAGAAUAGUUGCGGUAGGCGGAAUGUAUGGUGUAGCGGUGAAAUGCUUAGAGAUCAUACAGAACACCGAUUGCGAAGGCAGCUUACCAAACUAUAUCUGACGUUGAGGCACGAAAGCGUGGGUAGCAAACAGGAUUAGAUACCCUGGUAGUCCACGCAGUAAACGAUGAUAACUCGUUGUCGGCGAUACACAGUCGGUGACUAAGCGAAAGCGAUAAGUUAUCCACCUGGGGAGUACGUUCGCAAGAAUGAAACUCAAAGGAAUUGACGGGGGCCCGCACAAGCGGAGGAACAUGUG
rnacentral:rRNA from 1 species